GACGGGUGAGUAAUGCUUGGAAAUCUGCCUGAUAGAGGGGGACAACCACGGGAAACUGUGGCUAAUACCGCAUAAUCUAUUCGUAGCAAAGUGGGGGACCUUCGGGCCUCACGCUAUCAGAUGAGUCCAAGUGGGAUUAGCUAGUUGGUGAGGUAAGAGCUCACCAAGGCGACGAUCUCUAGCUGGUUUGAGAGGAUGAUCAGCCACACUGGAACUGAGACACGGUCCAGACUCCUACGGGAGGCAGCAGUGGGGAAUAUUGCACAAUGGGCGCAAGCCUGAUGCAGCCAUGCCGCGUGUGUGAAGAAGGCCUUCGGGUUGUAAAGCACUUUCAGUCGCGAGGAAGGGCUAUUAGUUAAUAGCUAAUAGCAUUGACGUUAACGACAGAAGAAGCACCGGCUAACUCCGUGCCAGCAGCCGCGGUAAUACGGAGGGUGCGAGCGUNAAUCGGAAUCA
rnacentral:rRNA from 1 species